ACAGCCCAUCCCUCUCCUGAUUUUUUUCAUAGUUCCCACGAGGCCACAUCUCCUCCAUUAGCUCCUGCCUGAGAAUCUCCACCUCCACCGCCGGCCUCCCCUUGGGUGCUUUUCCCCUGGUCACCGCCCCGCCACCACUGCAUCGAUGAGCCGCGCGAGGAGGCGGGCCACAACGCAGAUCUCUCGAAAACUCAUAUAGGCAUCUUUGGCCAGGUCCUUUCCCACCCCACCGCCGCGGACGAAGGUCGUCAGCUCACCUCCGGAGCUCAAGGCGGUUGUCACCACUCACCACCGCCCACGCAGAAGACAUAGGUCGCGGCCGCGGAUGAGCCUCCGACCCGGCAUCAGCGCACACGACGUGACGGCUGGCCGGAGCUAUCGUCGAUAUCCAAACGGCGGCCGCCCCUACCGCCGGGCCAAGUCUGCUGGCGCAGAGAUGCCAUCAAGGAGGUGUUGGAGGUCGGGGUGUGCAGCGCCAUGGCCUACAUGAGCGCACGGAACGCAGCGGCCGGCCGGCGCUGUCGUUGUUUUCCAGGCGGGCCAAUCUUGUUGGCCGCGUGGAUGUCGUCAAGGAGGUGCUAGAGGUCGGGGUAUGUGGCGUGUUAGUCCACCACACCAAGAAUUUGGCUCCUACAAGACACCCACGCCGAUGGCUCCACAGCAAGCCAGCCACACAUGAACUUAAGGCGACUCUAGCAGUCCAGCGAUCACAGGCACAAGAACCAGUGCAGGGCAUCUCUGGCUGACCAGGUGCACGGUGGUGGAUGUCUGGUUUUGGGUGGUUGACCUUCCGCUAGAUGCUCAUCACUCAUCAGCUGUCGACUCCCACCCCUACUGACUGAUGACCUUUCGCGAAGCGCCCUACCCGAUGUCCCACGGAGUCGCCUCGCUCUGCUCCCUGCCCGGUCGGACGGCGGCAAGAUGUCCACGGCCAGCUACCAACAGUCGCGGAUGGGUAGCGUCCUCCUUUUCACAUCUAGACAUGGUGAGUUUUGUUCUACUUCGGGUCAUUGGCUUGGUUCAUCCAACUUGUAAUUGGAUUGGAUGUGCCAUCCCAGGUCAACUGUGGUAUCAAGAGGGCAUUUUGUUCUUUCUUCAUAGUGGCUAUUAACUAUCAUUGACAAUACUAUUUUCCUAAAUGGACAAUGCAGUUUGUGCCCAUUUGAGUUUCAGUUAGCCAGUAUAUGAUACUUUCUGGAGAUUUUAAUCUGCUGAUCCCCUGGUGUGCUGCAUUACCCAUCUACCAAAAACCUCAGGUUUUGGCAUGCCUCCAUGGUAAUAAUGUUGCCUAACUGUGAAUAAUUGCAGUUCAUGUGUUUGCUGACUUGAUAAGGGAAUCAUUUAUCAGGCCACAUAGAACAUUUUCCAUGAGCAGGUCCGCAUGUUUUGUGAAAGUUACUUAUUACGGAACGACUUCACUUAAUAUGCAAUGGUUCUUUUUAGCGCUGUGAGCAUUACCUGAUGAUAUGGAAAAAUUCUUUUAUUUAAAAACAAUACCUAUUAGAUCAAGAGAUCACACAUCCAUGUGUUCUGAUUGUUGUUCCCUUGAUGGACAAUCUGCUGUGGUAGCUUGAAGUAGUUAAAAUUAUAAUGCAGUCUUCUGUUGUUUCUGUUCUGCGCUCUAUUGACCAUAAUGCUUAAAUACUAAAUAGAUGAGAAAGCGACCUCAUAUAUUCUUAGUUGAUAGUAUUUGUAUUGCUUUGGCAGCCCAAGUAGAUGAAGUGGAGUUUCUACUGGUAGUUUGAAGAUUCAGAUAUGAGGCACAUAUAUAAUAUAUCAUGUCUUAUGGCUGUAUGUAUCCAUGGUACAAUUCAGGUGUCGGAACUCGGAAAGCUGAGGGGGGAGGUCUAAAUUCCAUAAUCUCUGUUUUUGUAGCUAUUGGUGGGUUAUUCAUGAUUAUUAAAUUAAAUGCCACUCCUUUUAAAAUUGAAUGUAACAUAACUACGAUGUGCUCAAGCAGUGAAGAAAUAGAAAUCUGCUACCUGAUGAUAUGCUUGGAUGUAGAUUUAGUUUGUAACUGUGGAAGUUCUCCCACUUAAUGCUCUUGAGUCAUGGCCUGCAGAUUUUCUACUACCCAAAAAUGUUCCUCAAUUAAUUUACCUUGAAUAUCAUUCCAUGAUGCUUUAGGUCCUCUGUUUAGUGUUGAUAACUUGAUCCAUUAACUGAAAAAUGAACAUACUAUGUUUUUCGUUGGAUUUAUGAACAGUACUGCAAACAUUGGCCAACAAUUUAUGAACAGUAGUGUAAAUUUAUUUCCUUUCCUUCUUUCACUGAUUUUGUAUUAUAAGUAGAGAGCAAAGUCAAUUUUGGAUUUUUUUUAAUGAUUUUUGUGCAGAUGGUGCCAUUAUUUGAAUAGACUACAAGAAAGGCGGGUGGUCUUGAGAAGACAUGCUUUUUCUUUUAUGUAAGGUGCCUAAUUGAUCAAUGCCAUUUGUCCAACGGGAGCAUCCAACAGCUGGACUAUGGUGUCCCUUAAUCUGACAAGAAACGACAAAGGAUCCAUAUACUGCUGAUCCCCCAGGUGAUAACGACGACCCAGGAUUUGGCAAGACCAUUGGUUGUCUUCUGAAGGAGAGGGAACUGAGAAGGAAAAGCAAGGUGGAACCUGACAUCCUAAACGAGAAAUUAUUCAAGAGCAAAAUCAAAAAGAGCGGUGCCUCAAGGAAGGCGUUAACGGCUGCUUGAUCACUAUCCCAUCUUCUUUGUUGUUCUUGGGUAUGUUUCCCUGUGGUGUUCCGAGUGAGGUUCCUUUACGAGGUGUUUACUCUGUUGGGUUUCAGUGUUAGUUGACUUGAGUGUGGCUCGCGUUGUCGCGAGAGUGGGUGUGUUCAUGAGUGUGUUCAUGUGGUGUUGUUGUUGUAUGGUUUUUGCCCGGUUUUCCACAAAUCAACUGGGCACCUUCUUCUUAAUUAAUAUAUAAGGCAAAGCUUUUUUC